rnacentral:lncRNA from 1 species
AACACUCAACCACAACGUGAGUCGGAGGAGCCGCCGCACCGGAGAGCCCCGCCGCCGGUGAGUUUUAGUUUUUUGUAUUUUUUCGGCCCACCGAGGCCCUUUAGCAUGUGUGCUCGCAGGAAUCGAUAUAAAAUCGACCGAAUUUGACCGAAAACAACCGACCCGAGGCGGACUGCCGCUGCGGGUGGCGCCGCUGUGCCAGAUUUUUGAAAUUGGCCGAGUGGGACUUGGGACUGAUUUUGGGUUUAUUUGGAACAUUUGUAGGUAUUAUAAGCGCGUUUUAGUUUCUGAAAAAAAUUUCAGGGGACCCAGGGACCACCCGUAGGCACAGUAAACCGUUUAGCUUUUC